GACGAACGCUGGCGGCGUGCUUAACACAUGCAAGUCGAACGGAAAGGCCCUGCUUUUGUGGGGUGCUCGAGUGGCGAGCGGGUGAGUAACACGUGAGUAACCUACCCUUGACUUUGGGAUAACUUCAGGAAACUGGGGCUAAUACCGGAUAGGAGCUCCUGCUGCAUGGUGGGGGUUGGAAAGUUUCGGCGGUUGGGGAUGGACUCGCGGCUUAUCAGCUUGUUGGUGGGGUAGUGGCUUACCAAGGCUUUGACGGGUAGCCGGCCUGAGAGGGUGACCGGCCACAUUGGGACUGAGAUACGGCCCAGACUCCUACGGGAGGCAGCAGUGGGGAAUAUUGCACAAUGGGCGGAAGCCUGAUGCAGCAACGCCGCGUGCGGGAUGACGGCCUUCGGGUUGUAAACCGCUUUCGCCUGUGACGAAGCGUGAGUGACGGUAAUGGGUAAAGAAGCACCGGCUAACUACGUGCCAGCAGCCGCGGUGAUACGUAGGGUGCGAGCGUUGUCCGGAUUUAUUGGGCGUAAAGGGCUCGUAGGUGGUUGAUCGCGUCGGAAGUGUAAUCUUGGGGCUUAACCCUGAGCGUGCUUUCGAUACGGGUUGACUUGAGGAAGGUAGGGGAGAAUGGAAUUCCUGGUGGAGCGGUGGAAUGCGCAGAUAUCAGGAGGAACACCAGUGGCGAAGGCGGUUCUCUGGGCCUUUCCUGACGCUGAGGAGCGAAAGCGUGGGGAGCGAACAGGCUUAGAUACCCUGGUAGUCCACGCUGUAAACGGUGGGUACUAGGUGUGGGGUCCAUUCCACGGGUUCCGUGCCGUAGCUAACGCUUUAAGUACCCCGCCUGGGGAGUACGGCCGCAAGGCUAAAACUCAAAGGAAUUGACGGGGCCCCGCACAAGCGGCGGAGCAUGCGGAUUAAUUCGAUGCAACGCGUAGAACCUUACCUGGGUUUGACAUGGAUCGGGAGUGCUCAGAGAUGGGUGUGCCUCUUUUGGGGUCGGUUCACAGGUGGUGCAUGGCUGUCGUCAGCUCGUGUCGUGAGAUGCUGGGUUAAGUCCCGCAACGAGCGCAACCCUUGUUCACUGUUGCCAGCACGUUAUGGUGGGGACUCAGUGGAGACCGCCGGGGUCAACUCGGAGGAAGGUGGGGAUGACGUCAAGUCAUCAUGCCCCUUAUGUCCAGGGCUUCACGCAUGCUACAAUGGCUGGUACAGAGAGUGGCGAGCCUGUGAGGGUGAGCGAAUCUCGGAAAGCCGGUCUCAGUUCGGAUUGGGGUCUGCAACUCGACCUCAUGAAGUCGGAGUCGCUAGUAAUCGCAGAUCAGCAACGCUGCGGUGAAUACGUUCCCGGG
rnacentral:rRNA from 1 species